GCGACUGAACGAAAGACGCGAGCAGCGAAGAGCAGCAAAGCAGCGAUGCUCACACGCGUGGGAGGCUGACAGCCAAGAACGCACGUAGGUCAGUUUCAGUUGUGCUUGGACUAUUGGCGAUUGAACAUCCAGUGCGCGUGUUAUCAGUGUAAUAAUAAUUAAUAAUUUCAGCAUGCUCAUCCACAAGCAACGAAGUUGGAGUUGAUUUUGCCAAAUAUUGACGCCGGGCAAGACGUUGUCGAGGGAGGCCCUGACCUCAUUGGUGGCGCCCAUGAAGCAGAAGCUGGUGUGGACGGGCAGCUUGCCGACCAGCUCGCUGGUCUUGUUGAGCUUGUGCGUUAGCUUAUCUACCACCUUGAAGAGCUACCAGCUGUACCUCUGGACAGAGUCUGUGCUCUUCUCAUAGUGACCAUUGUUGCACAGCAUGCUGCUCAGAUGGACGAUCUUGUUGCAUAUGCCUAUGAUGGACUUGCUGGCGUUAACAAUGGUGAGCACAUCCUUGGACACGGGCGUGCCACAAGCGUCAAUGGUAUCCACGUAUUUGAUGCAGGCGUUCAGUAUCUGGGUGACCAUCUUGGCGAUGCCUUUCCUCAACACCUUUCGAGCACAGGCAAUGAAUCUGUAUCUCUCACCGGCCAUCCAGCUGCGCCUCCAGCUGCUGCAGCGCCAGCUCCACUCUGUUCCCAAGCUCCUGCUGUUUCUCAUUCGUGCUGGCUUGCUGCUUAAAGCAAUCAACUAACGAAGCGAACGCUGGACUUCAUCAUAUACGAUAAAUGGUUACUACAGUCGGAUCUACACUCUAAAGAGUUUCCGAAGUUAACUGGGCCAAGGACUACAACAUCAACAUCAGCGGCUAUAACAACCACAAUAGCUAACAAUAGCUAGUCCUGUUUGAAGGGAUGCUAAGUCAACGGAUUUUAUUUAAAUUAAAGCA